AGUCGAGCGGCAGCGGGGGGAAGCUUGCUUCCCCGCCGGCGAGCGGCGGACGGGUGAGUAAUGUCUGGGAAACUGCCUGAUGGAGGGGGAUAACUACUGGAAACGGUAGCUAAUACCGCAUAACGUCGCAAGACCAAAGAGGGGGACCUUCGGGCCUCUUGCCAUCGGAUGUGCCCAGAUGGGAUUAGCUAGUAGGUGAGGUAAAGGCUCACCUAGGCGACGAUCCCUAGCUGGUCUGAGAGGAUGACCAGCCACACUGGAACUGAGACACGGUCCAGACUCCUACGGGAGGCAGCAGUGGGGAAUAUUGCACAAUGGGCGCAAGCCUGAUGCAGCCAUGCCGCGUGUGUGAAGAAGGCCUUCGGGUUGUAAAGCACUUUCAGCGGGGAGGAAGGGAGCAGACUUAAUACGUCUGUUCAUUGACGUUACCCGCAGAAGAAGCACCGGCUAACUCCGUGCCAGCAGCCGCGGUAAUACGGAGGGUGCAAGCGUUAAUCGGAAUGACUGGGCGUAAAGCGCACGCAGGCGGUCUGUUAAGUUGGAUGUGAAAUCCCCGGGCUUAACCUGGGAACUGCAUUCAAAACUGACAGGCUAGAGUCUCGUAGAGGGGGGUAGAAUUCCAGGUGUAGCGGUGAAAUGCGUAGAGAUCUGGAGGAAUACCGGUGGCGAAGGCGGCCCCCUGGACGAAGACUGACGCUCAGGUGCGAAAGCGUGGGGAGCAAACAGGAUUAGAUACCCUGGUAGUCCACGCUGUAAACGAUGUCGAUUUGGAGGUUGUGCCCUUGAGGCGUGGCUUCCGGAGCUAACGCGUUAAAUCGACCGCCUGGGGAGUACGGCCGCAAGGUUAAAACUCAAAUGAAUUGACGGGGGCCCGCACAAGCGGUGGAGCAUGUGGUUUAAUUCGAUGCAACGCGAAGAACCUUACCUACUCUUGACAUCCAGAGAAGCCUGCAGAGAUGCGGGUGUGCCUUCGGGAGCUCUGAGACAGGUGCUGCAUGGCUGUCGUCAGCUCGUGUUGUGAAAUGUUGGGUUAAGUCCCGCAACGAGCGCAACCCUUAUCCUUUGUUGCCAGCACUUCGGGUGGGAACUCAAGGGAGACUGCCGGUGAUAAACCGGAGGAAGGUGGGGAUGACGUCAAGUCAUCAUGGCCCUUACGAGUAGGGCUACACACGUGCUACAAUGGCGUAUACAAAGAGAAGCGACCUCGCGAGAGCAAGCGGACCUCAUAAAGUACGUCGUAGUCCGGAUUGGAGUCUGCAACUCGACUCCAUGAAGUCGGAAUCGCUAGUAAUCGUAGAUCAGAAUGCUACGGUGAAUACGUUCCCGGGCCUUGUACACACCGCCCGUCACACCAUGGGAGUGGGUUGCAAAAGAAGUAGGUAGCUUAACCUUCGGGAGGGCGCUUACCAC
rnacentral:rRNA from 1 species